rnacentral:rRNA from 1 species
GACGAACGCUGGCGGCGUGCUUAACACAUGCAAGUCGAACGGGAUCCGGGCUUUCGGGUUUGGUGAGAGUGGCGAACGGGUGAGUAACACGUGAGUAACCUGCCCCCUUCUUUGGGAUAACGUCGGGAAAUCGGCGCUAAUACUGGAUAUUCUUGCUGCAUCGCAUGGUGUGGUUUGGAAAGGGUUUCUGGUGGGGGAUGGGCUCGCGGCCUAUCAGCUUGUUGGUGGGGUGAUGGCCUACCAAGGCUUUGACGGGUAGCCGGCCUGAGAGGGUGUCCGGCCACACUGGGACUGAGACACGGCCCAGACUCCUACGGGAGGCAGCAGUGGGGAAUAGUGCACAAUGGGCGCAAGCCUGAUGCAGCGACGCCGCGUGAGGGAUGACGGCCUUCGGGUUGUAAACCUCUUUCAGUAUGGAACAAGGAUCCUUCUUUUGGGGGGUUUGAGGGUACGUGCAGAAGAAGCGCCGGCUAACUACGUG